rnacentral:rRNA from 1 species
UACGACGGUCAAAGCUGCGGAGUUCACCCGGUCCCAUCCCGAACCCGGUAGUUAAGGCCGCACACGUACAUGGUUGUACUGUGGUGCUCGCGCCCAUGGGAACCCAUGAAAGCCGUCGACC